GGAUGCGAUCAUACCAGCACUAAAGCACCGGAUCCCAUCAGAACUCCGAAGUUAAGCGUGCUUGGGCGAGAGUAGUACUAGGAUGGGUGACCUCCUGGGAAGUCCUCGUGUUGCAUCCCUC
rnacentral:rRNA from 1 species